UACGGGGGGGGCAAGCGUUGUUCGGAAUUACUGGGCGUAAAGGGUUCGUAGGUGGCCAACUAAGUCAGACGUGAAAUCCCUCGGCUUAACCGGGGAACUGCGUCUGAUACUGGAUGGCUAGAGUUUGGGAGAGGGAUGCGGAAUUCCAGGUGUAGCGGUGAAAUUCGUAGAUAUUCGGCGGAACACCAGUGGCGAAGGCGACUCACUGGCCCGAUACUGACGCUGAGGCGCGAAAGCGUGGGGAGCAAACAGG
rnacentral:rRNA from 1 species